CAGAACUGUAGUGUUUCCCAAAAUGCGUCUGAGCCAGCCAGCCACAGUGAAUGUACUACGCAUACCAGUGGUGAAAGUGGCGUCAACGUGAACAAGCUGAACCCUCUAGCAAGAGAAUUUCGUCCAUCAUCUCAGACUAUUUGUCCAAGGAAAGAAGUGCAACCCAAACGUAAAUCUCAAAUGGUUAAAUUCGAUCCACCAAGCCAAGGGCGG